ACUUAAAUAGUUUAAAUAAAAUAUUGAUUUGUGGUGUCAGAGAUAUAAAUUUUAUUUUAAGUU
rnacentral:tRNA from 1 species